rnacentral:lncRNA from 1 species
CAAGAAGUGAUAAAGAGUAAAAACAAGAUGAAUUUCCUGGAAAGUAUUUUUGCCAGUUGGAAAUAUGCUUUUAUUGCAUUAUAAUUUCCAUGAGGGGUGAAAUACGCAAGUAAAGCAGGCGAACUUAAAGACACUUCUGUAAACAUUUGUCUAUAACUCUAGGCCCUAAUGCAAGGUCUGCAGUUAGUGAUAACAACACAGCUUCACAUUUCCUCAGGAUCUUCUUUUAUGCCGGGCUUGUACUGCUGGUCUAGAACACCUCAAUAACGACUCCCUAAGCUUCAUGGGGAAUUGCUGAGGAAUUUGGUUCUGGAUACAUACCUCAGAGGUGAAACCUGAAAUCCAAACCAAGACUUCCAGACAGUGAGAGGAUAUUACGUUGCAGAAUUUGGUCAGAAUAUGAAGUUUGGAAGACCCUAUAUUCCUGCAGAUCCUUGGAUUGAGGUUAAUUCGAGAGCAAGCCGUGAGUGAGGUAGCCUUUAUUACUCAUCAUGUGUUUAAGAAUGAUGCAAUGAGGCUUUGUUCUCUGCCUAUCUGAAUCACGUGGCCCAAGCAAGAGAUAUCUAUUGAAAUAGCAGAUAGUAGUGUCAUUCCAUUAUAAUUACCAUUAUUUGAGCUUCAGAGAAGUGGCAUUGAAUAACUCAAUUGGAGAAUAUGCAAGUAAAAUUAACAAAACCGUACACUAUUAAAAAAUGACUUGGUAGAUUUCUUCCAGAAAACUUAGAAAACAGAAUCUCAUAGCUCUCUGCAUACUUUAUGUCAGGCCUCUGAGCUCAAGCCUGCACGUAUACAUCCAGAUGGCCUGAAGUAACUGAAGAAUCACAAAAGAAGUGAAAAUGGUCAGUUCCUGCCUUAACUGAUGACAUUACCUUGUGAAAUUCCUUCUCCUGGCUCAUCCUGGCUCAAAAGCUCCCCCACUGAGCACCCUGUGACCCCCAUCCCUGUCCACCAGAGAACAACUCCCUUUGACUGUAAUUUUCCACUACCCACCCAAAUCCUAUAAAAUGGCCCCACCCCUAUCUCCCUUCGCAGACUCUCUUUUUGGACUCAGCCCACUGCACCCAGGUGAAAUAAACAGCCUUGUUGCUCACACAAAGCCUGUUUGGUGCUCUCUUCACACGGACGCGUGUGACACUUC